rnacentral:sRNA from 1 species
UAUUCUGCCCCACGGGGAAGGAUGAGAAGCUUCGACUAAGGUUCGACUCGAGCGUAGCGAGAGAACGUUGCCGAAGGCAAUGGCCCGAAGGGCGAGGCGCUUUAGCGCCGAGUCAUCCUUCCCCCACCGCUG